CCAACGGCCCUCUUUAGAGCCACAAAUGUACUAAAAUCCAUUAUC
rfam:Caenorhabditis elegans chromosome V